rnacentral:rRNA from 1 species
CCGGAUAAUCCUGACUCUCUCCUGAGAGUCAGUUGAAAGAUGGUUUCGGCUAUCACUUACGGAUGAGCCCGCGGCGCAUUAGCUAGUUGGUAGGGUAAUGGCCUACCAAGGCGACGAUGCGUAGCCGACCUGAGAGGGUGAUCGGCCACACUGGGACUGAGACACGGCCCAGACUCCUACGGGAGGCAGCAGUAGGGAAUCUUCCGCAAUGGACGAAAGUCUGACGGAGCAACGCCGCGUGAGUGAAGAAGGUUUUCGGAUCGUAAAACUCUGUUGUUAGGGAAGAACACGUACGAGAGUAACUGCUCGUACCUUGACGGUACCUAACCAGGAAGCCACGGCUAACUACGUG